GCCUGUAGUGCUAGUUGGUAAAGGCAGCACUCUAGAUAGCUGAGGUCGUGAGUUCGACUCUCACCAGACA
rnacentral:tRNA from 1 species